GACGAACCGUGCGAACGUUAUUCGGAAUCACUGGGCUUAAAGCGCGUGUAGGCGGGACGGCACGUCUGUCGCUGAAAUCCCCCGGCUUAACCGGGGAACUGGCGUAGAUACGACCGUCCUGGAGGGCGUAGGGGGACCUGGAACUUCCGGUGGAGCGGUGAAAUGCGUUGAGAUCGGAAGGAACGCCCGUGGCGAAAGCGAGGUCCUGGACGCCUACGUGACGCUGAGACG
rnacentral:rRNA from 1 species